UCUCACCUUGGGCAGUCAGUCAUCUCUGCUCUGUUGGGAGGCCCCUUGUUCUUGGUGUUCCUUCCCAGACACAUGCUACCAAAGCAUUAGCCAGGAGGGGGCAGUACACAACCAAAGAAAGGUCUUCUCAAAGGUCAAGGUCACUAGGGACUGUCUAGUCACCUGCCCAGAACGUAUUGCUGUGGAUAUACCAGGUUCAACUCCAGGGCCAUGACGUCUGGGUUCCUCCAGGGUGAACAUAACAACAAACAGCAGGAAGGAAGGGAUCCAGGCAACCAGCACACGAUAUGGGAUAUUGGCUACGUGAUGGGAAAUGUUCUGGGGUCAGAUCAGAAAAUGUCAGACCUUCUUACACGCGUUCGUGACCGGCCAGGAAGAACGCAACAAACCGGAAUCUUCUGCGGCAAAAGCUUUAUUGCUUACAUCUUCAGGAGCAAGAGAGCAAGAGCAAGAGCAAGAGAGAGAAUGGCGAAACCCCGUCCCUUUUAAGGAGA
rnacentral:lncRNA from 1 species